rnacentral:rRNA from 1 species
GAACGCUGGCGGCGUGCCUAAUACAUGCAAGUCGAGCGAACAGACGAGGAGCUUGCUCCUCUGACGUUAGCGGCGGACGGGUGAGUAGCACGUGGAUAACCUACCUAUAAGACUGGGAUAACUUCGGGAAACCGGAGCUAAUACCGGAUAAUAUAUUGAACCGCAUGGUUCAAUAGUGAAAGACGGUUUUGCUGUCACUUAUAGAUGGAUCCGCGCCGCAUUAGCUAGUUGGUAAGGUAACGGCUUACCAAGGCAACGAUGCGUAGCCGACCUGAGAGGGUGAUCGGCCACACUGGAACUGAGACACGGUCCAGACUCCUACGGGAGGCAGCAGUAGGGAAUCUUCCGCAAUGGGCGAAAGCCUGACGGAGCAACGCCGCGUGAGUGAUGAAGGUCUUCGGAUCGUAAAACUCUGUUAUUAGGGAAGAACAAAUGUGUAAGUAACUAUGCACGUCUUGACGGUACCUAAUCAGAAAGCCACGGCUAACUACGUG